rnacentral:rRNA from 1 species
UAAGACGAAGGUGGCGAGCGUUACUCGGAAUUACUAGGCGUAAAGCGUGGGUAGGUGGUUCGGCAAGUCUGUUGUGGAAGCUCCUGGCUCAACCGGGAGAGGCCAAUGGAUACUACCGAGCUUGAAUGUGGGAGAGGUCACUGGAAUUCCUGGUGUAGCGGUGAAAUGCGUAGAGAUCAGGAGGAACACCGAUGGCGAAAGCAGGUGACUGGACCACUAUUGACACUGAGCCACGAAAGCUAGGGGAGCAAACAGGAUUAGAUACCCUGGUAGUCCUAGCUGUAAACGAUGUUCACCAGAUGUGGGAGGUAUCGACCCCUCCCGUGUCGACGCUAACGCAUUAAGUGAACCGCCUGGGGAGUACGGCCGCAAGGUUG